AGACUCUGAAUUCCUCUGUACACUUGGGUGCAAGAAAUGUCCACACUUCCCUCCAGCUUCUGGGAACUCAUCUUCUCCGGUUUGGGGCAUAGCUGUCUCCCCUGUGAAGCAUCGCCUUCCAUCUCUUCCCUUUUUAGGAGGACUUCAGCUUCUCUUCUUGAAGAGCCAAGAACUCUCACAGUCCUGGUUGGGGCUUUUUCCAGGAUAGUUUUUUGUUGUUGUUGUUGUUAAGAUUUUAUAUUUUUUCCCUUUUUCUCCUCAAGCCCCCCAGUGCAUAGUUGUAUAUAUUUUUAGUUGUGGGUCUUUCCAGUUGUGGCAUGUGGGAUGCCGCCUCAGCAUGGCUUGAUGAGCAGUGCUGCGUCUGCGCCCAGGAACCAAACUGCUGAAACCCUUGGCCGUAGAAGCGGAGCGCAUAAACUUAACCACUCGGCUGCAGGGCCGGCCUGACCCCUCCAGGAUAGUCUUUGAAACGCAAAGAAGCUCUUAAAGUUCUUACACCUGAGCAUAACAGGAUCCUGAGCCUCAGGACAAAAAGCCAACGUUCUGUCCAGAGAGGAAAAGGAGGAAUUACCUGGUAGCACGGAAGUAUGAACAUCUGAAUUAGGUGGUCCGGGUGACAGAGCUCUGAGAACAGUGAUGCACUUUGCCAGCCCACCAACAUGGGAUUGUUUGUGGUAUCUUUACUUUUACUAAGCUUGCUGCCUAAACCAGCACGUGGGACAUUAAGAACACCGGCAAUUCCAGCUAACCGAAGG
rnacentral:lncRNA from 1 species